rnacentral:rRNA from 1 species
UACGGAGGGUGCAAGCGUUAUCCGGAUUCACUGGGUUUAAAGGGUGCGUAGGUGGGCAAGUAAGUCAGUGGUGAAAUCUCCGGGCUUAACCCGGAAACUGCCAUUGAUACUAUUUGUCUUGAAUACUGUGGAGGUCAGCGGAAUAUGUCAUGUAGAGGUGAAAUUCUUAGAUAUGACACAGAACACCAAUUGCGAAGGCAGCUCGCUAAACUGUAACUGACGCUGAGGCACGAAAGCGUGGGGAUCAAACAGG